AGAACAAGAGUUGAAGCAUGAGCUCAGACACCAGCCAAGCUGUGGUCACUACUCCUCCCCUUCCCAGCAUGCCACACAAAGAGAGAUACUUUGACCGAAUCAAUGAAAGUGAUCCAGAAUAUCUUCGAGAAAGGAAUAUGUCUCCUGAUUUACGACAAGACUUCAAUAUGAUGGAGCAGAGGAAGCGAGUUACUCAGAUCCUGCAGAGCCCUGCCUUUCGGGAAGACCUGGAAUGCCUCAUUCAAGAACAGAUGAAGAAAGGCCACAACCCAACUGGUUUACUAGCCUUACAACAGAUUGCAGAUUACAUCAUGGCCAACUCUUUCUCAGGCUUUUCUUCACCUCCCCUGAGUAUGUCAAUUGUGAUUUUGUUUUCUCUGCAGUGGAACACUACUUCUCUGGCUAGUUACUCUGAUCAGAGUCAGCCCUAAAGUGUAUGACAUAGAGCUGGGUCUGGUGGCAUAAGCCUACAGUACCAACUGCUCAGCAGCAGAAGCAAAGGGUCAUAAUAUCAAGGCCAGCCUGGGCAAAUUAAUGAAGACCCUCAAAAUAAAAAAGAGAUCUGAGGAUGAGGUUCAGUGGUCGUUACUAUGCACAAGGCCAUAGGUUCAAGCCCCAGUACUUUUUAAAAGCAACAUCUGACAUUUAGAAUAGCAUAUUAUAAGACAUAGUCCUAACCGAGAUAGUUGUAUUUGAAUUAACCCUGGAGACCACUCUAGUGGUUAUUUUUCCUUUAUUUUGGCUCACAAUUUCAGAGCGGUUUCAAUACAUCAUGGCAGGAAAGGCAAAACAACUCCAACUCUGGCUGUGAGAUGGGAGCCUGAAGAAGAGCAGCUGCUCACAACACAGGAAGCAGUGAGAAGAGUGAGCCUGUCCCUGGUAGUCUGCUUCUCACCAGCCAGCCCCUUCCAUAGGCCGGACAGCCUUCACAAUAGGGCACAGACUGGGGACCAAGUAUUCACCACAUAAUCCUGUAGUGGACAUUUCAGAUUCAAACCCUAACAGUAACUGUAGAAGAGAAAGUUAAAAAGCUGUUCGUUCACAAGAAGUGAUCUGUAACCCUUUACUGUGUCCUCAUGCUGUGAGCUGAGAGUUGGAGUUUAUUGCCUGAAGGAGACUGAAUAAAAACUUGAUGAGAGAAGAGGGCAGGCUGGCUGGUAGGAUCUGGAAAGAUGUUGGUGUAAAGGAGUGGAUGUUGUAUUCACUGCAUAGCUCCUUAGAGAGCAGCAUUUGUGAGGCUGAACUCCCUAGAGGACUAAGACCCCUUGGCCAGAAGCUCUGCUCUGAUUGUGGUCAGAGUCUCUGCAGUGAAGGGCACAUGUGGGGGCCACAGAGAGCUAGCAGACAUUGUUUCAUGGGAGACUCAAGAGAAAGGAGCUUUAUUUGCUCCUCCUUUUAUCUGUCCCCUCUUUCUCUUCCUUUUGUCAGUAGAGGUUUCUAAGUAAGAUUUUAUUGAAUUCAGGUCUUUUCCAAACCCCUGAGAUAUGAUGGUAGGAGAGUGCAAGGUGGGAGGGAGUGUUUGUCGUGCUCCAUUGCCUGGGCCUGAGGGUCCUGGGCUGGCUAGCAGUCUAGGGGAAGGAAAUGAAUCAGACUGAAAAGACUCUUCACGGCUGGACCAGGACAGCUGCCAGCAUGGACAGUAAAAACCCUUGUGAAGGAAAUUAGCUGAUGAUCUGAAUGAGGGCCAGGAAAGGAAAGAAGCUCAAGUCAGAUCAUUUAAAGACCGCAAGCAAGUGUAUGAGAGAUGUAAGUACCUGGAUUAGUUCUGUGGAGCUGGUAUAUAAAGGAGGAAAACAAGGAGAACCAAAGGGAGCUUCGUAGCGGUCCUGGUGUGCUGGGGAGGGGCGAAUGUCAAAGAGUCACCUAGUGGCUGGGUUCUAGCUUCUGAGAAACAGUCUACCAGCAGAAACAAAAAUUCAAAGCUUGAGCUAUUUUUAGCACUCUGUAACAGUGGGCAUUUGGACCAAGUUCUGUUUCAGGGACAAGGACUGCACUAAGAUUCUUUUUCUCUUGGAGCUUGAAACUACACUAAAUAAAGAAGCUGAGAAGACGAGGAAUGCCAUGCUGAAAAUCACAGUGUGGUUAUGUGCUGCAUGUCUGGGCAGCACAGAGAUAUAAGGUCAUCAAAGACGGCCUCUGAAGAGAGCACAUCUCAACUGAGGCUUGAGAGUAAGGCGUAUGGUGUGUCUUAAGAUGGAAAGAAAACAUCCAUGUCCCAGAACCUGGUAAAGGUGCCAAGUGGGGAAGAAACUGGGGAAGGAGUAGAAGUAAAAAAUAGUACUCUGCUUGCUCUCUAAGGGGACAAAUAGAACAAAAUUAGAUGAUAGCACAGGCAGUGUUAUUGAAAUGUGAUGGUAAUAUGGCUGGAUGUCAGUUGCCGCCAACGGGUUUGGAAGUUUGAAUCUUGUUCCUGUUGUGGGGAGACAUUUUUAAACUGGAGGGUAAUUUCUAAAGCCCCACGAGAUUUUCUGUGCAAGAUGGCCAUGGAGAUUUCAUAGGAUUAAUAAGAAAAGUGGGAAGGGCAUAGUGUAGGAUCCAGUCUGGCAUGUUUGCUUUAGAUUGCUGACAUGCGCCAAUUGAGUGUUGGCAUUAAAUGCACGUGCAGCCACAUCCAGCUAAAACAAUUGAAUCUUUAAUAAAAUUUUAUCGUCACCUUUACUUUGUUCUUUGCUCUCUCCACUUCCCAAGUAAAUGUGCAUUUUUCACACCACCACAAGAAACCUUCCAGACUGGUCCAUUUCCCCUUCCUGACUUAUAAACACCACUGGGGUAUGGCUUUCCUGCAGCCAUGCUUUGACAUCUGCAACCCCAAAUGCCUGCUUCUCUGUAUCCCUCUGCCAAGAUGUUUAAGUAUGUUAGCUGGGUGUGGUGAGACACGCCUUUAAUCCCAGCACUCAGGAGGCAGAGGCAGGCGGAUCUCUGUGAGUUUGAAGUCAGCCUGGUCCACAUCUGGAGUUCCAGGACAGCCAAGGCUAUAUAGUAAGACCCUGUCUAAGAAAAAGAAGAUAAACAAUAAAAAGGAGUAAAGAUUGCUAAGAAUUGAGCUUGUAGAAAUUGUAAUGUUGUCAACAUUACAGACAUAAAGAGAAGGAAGGAAGAAAAGUAAGAGAAAGUAAAAUCACUUUUGGACUUUAGGUUUUGUAUGUUACUCUAUCACAGGAGGAGGUACGUGGUUAGAGAUGAAGAUGACCUCACAAAAUAAUAUAUUGUGCAGAGUAUAAGAUGUUUUCAUGGAGAAAAGUAAAGUAAGGCAGGAGCAUAACAGAAGCCUGAGCUCCAGGAACGAACCAGGUUGGAGGAAAGUGGGAGAGGAGAACUUAGAAGAAAGAGGAAAGGGAGCCAGGAGUCAGCACAGAAUCCUGGGC
rnacentral:lncRNA from 1 species